UAAUAAACUCAAAGAUAAAAUCUUCAAAAAAAAAAAAUGGCAAAAUAUAUUUUCCAAUAUUUUCUCUUUGGAGUUUUAUGCAUUGCGUUGGUUCUAGCUUCGGGACCAACACCAGUUUUGAGUUUCUGCUUUAAUAAUAAUCCUUGGUAUUGUGAUAACCCUGAUUUUUGCAAGUCAAUGUGCCACGGUCUGCUAUUUACAAAAGGAGUAUGCGAUGGACAUAUUUGUUGCUGUCAGUAUGGUUGAAAUAAAUUACUAUUAUUACAAAUAUUUAUAUAUCUUUUACUAAAGAUCGAAUAAACUUUGAACCAAAAAAAUAAUAUUGAAUAAACAAUCGCUCAAAAAAAGAUAGCAUAUACUAAAUAAGAAACAUCUUCCUCCAAAGCUUUUA